UUAAAGACGCUCCUUAUUUGCUGGGAGUACUGCAAAAUGUGGGUUAAAAAAGUGAACAUUUUCUUUAUCCUUAUGGUUUUUAUAACCAUGAUUUUUGGACUUCCUACUGAUAAACCACGACCAGAACUCCACAAUAUUAUUACUGUACAUUGUCAAAAAGGUUACGCGAAACUGAAUGGCAAGUGUGUUCGUACUGAAUGAAAGCAGCAAGUACCUAUUGGUACCCAAUAAGGAAAUACAUAUUUUAUUUUUUAAUCUAAAUAUAUGUUAUAUUGAAAUAAUUUAAGAAUUACAUUUUUUACCUGCCCAAUAUUUUAUUAACAUUCUAAAUCUCUGUAUACAAGUUUAUCAAAUAAACAUGUUUUAACCUGA